rnacentral:rRNA from 1 species
UACGAAGGGUGCAAGCGUUAAUCGGAAUUACUGGGCGUAAAGGGUGCGUAGGCGGUUGUUUAAGUCUGUCGUGAAAUCCCCGGGCUCAACCUGGGAAUGGCGAUGGAUACUGGGCAGCUAGAGUGUGUCAGAGGAUGGUGGAAUUCCCGGUGUAGCGGUGAAAUGCGUAGAGAUCGGGAGGAACACCAGUGACGAAGGCGGCCUUCUGGACCAAUACUGACGCUCAUGCACGAAAGCGUGGGGAGCAAACAGG